rnacentral:rRNA from 1 species
AUUGAACGCUGGCGGCAGGCUUAACACAUGCAAGUCGAGCGGGGUGAUGGUGCUUGCACUAUCACUUAGCGGCGGACGGGUGAGUAAUGCUUAGGAAUCUGCCUAUUAGUGGGGGACAACAUCUCGAAAGGGAUGCUAAUACCGCAUACGUCCUACGGGAGAAAGCAGGGGAUCACUUGUGACCUUGUGCUAAUAGAUGAGCCUAAGUCGGAUUAGCUAGUUGGUGGGGUAAAGGCCUACCAAGGCGACGAUCUGUAGCGGGUCUGAGAGGAUGAGCCGGCACACUGGGACUGAGACACGGCCCAGACUCCUACGGGAGGCAGCAGUGGGGAAUAUUGGACAAUGGGGGGAACCCUGAUCCAGCCAUGCCGCGUGUGUGAAGAAGGCCUUAUGGUUGUAAAGCACUUUAAGCGAGGAGGAGGCUUACCUAGUUAAUACCUGGGAUAAGUGGACGUUACUCGCAGAAUAAGCACCGGCUAACUCUGUGCCAGCCGCCGCAGUAACAC